AGGCCUUCCCACCACCUGAGGCUCGGCCAUAGCUCUGCCCGGUUUCCCAGCAGCUGCCAGUGAAUGCCCUCGGCCCGUGCUCAGCUCCGCCACCAUGGGGACUGCUCAGGUUUUACCUGGCAUUCUGCAGAAGCAUUGCUGUAUCUUACCGGACAGGAACACAGGUCACUUAUGUUAAGACGGUUUUUCCUAAUUUGUCACUGUAUUCAUCUCCCUAUCUGGAAACUGAAAAAAUUCACAACAAUGGCAGAAGAGCACAAGAAGUUUUUAUUACUGUUUAGACAUUCGCUUUGUCAUUUUGAAUCAAAAAUGUAGAAAACUCAAAUUAAACAUAUAUAAAAUA
rnacentral:lncRNA from 1 species